rnacentral:rRNA from 1 species
GAUGAACGCUAGCGGCGGGCAUAAUACAUGCAAGUCGAACGGGAUAAGUUGUAGCAAUACGACUUUGAGAGUGGCGCACGGGUGCGUAACACGUAUGCAACUUGCGCUUAACAGGGGGAUAGCUUUCGGAAACGAAAAUUAAUACCCCAUAUUAUUCCUUAUAUGCAUGUAUGAGUAAUGAAAGCUCCGGCGGGUAAGGCUGGGCAUGCGGCUGAUUAGCGAGUUGGCGAGGUAAAGGCCCAACAAGGCGACGAUCAGUAGGGGGGCUGAGAGGGAGGCCCCCCACACUGGUACUGAGACACGGACCAGACUCCUACGGGAGGCAGCAGUAGGGAAUAUUGGUCAAUGGAGGCAACUCUGAACCAGCCACGCCGCGUGCAGUAUGAAGGCCCUCUGGGUUGUAAACUGCUUUUGUUAGGGAAAAAACCCCUCGAUGCGUUGAGGGUUGAUGGUACCUAAAGAAUAAGGAUCGGCUAACUCCGUGCCAGCCGCCGCCGUAACAC